GCCCUGUCGGCACAGUGCUUGAUGGACACAGCAGGCAGUGGGUCUGCUCUCUCAGAGGGCGUAGCAGGAGGCAAGCCUAUUGUCUCGAGCUGGGUGGUCACAGUUGUCACAAAGUCAAGAAUCUGUGCAAGUCUCAGGCAAUUCUUCUGCUCCAUGUGCAUUAACUCAGCAGUGUUUAUCUGGUGGCGGGGCUGGUCCGGAGGGUCCAGAUAGCUUCCUGCUUCACACGUCUAGGGCCUUGUGGAGAUGACUGGAAGGCCGGGCUCAGCUGGAAUUACAGACCACGAGGAGGUGAAUCACCGGAAGAAAACUCCCGAUGUGCAAAUGCGUGCAGCGUGAAAGUCAGAGCAAGUACUGCAGAUAACAAGGUGCUUUGGAGCAUCAAAUGAAAGAGAGCUUGCAUCCGUCUGGGAGAGUCUGAAGGCCUUCAUCUGGACUUUAAAGGGUAUGAAAGAGUUCCCAGGCCAAGUUGGGAUGGAAGGCAUCUUAGAGGAAAUAAAAAAGCAGUAGCAAAGGCACCAAUGUGGGGAAAUACGGGACCUGUUUGGAGAUGAAGGAGUAAAUAAAUUUGGAAUGAGGUAUAGUCACUAGUGAGAA
rnacentral:lncRNA from 1 species